AAAAUCCUAAAAGCAAAAUCAAAACACACAGGCAUCCUGAAAGAGGCCGAGGCUGAGAUGCAGGAGCGCUACUUUGAGCCACUGGUGAAAAAAGAACAAAUGGAAGAAAAGAUGAGAAACAUCAGAGAAGUGAAGUGCCGUGUCGUGACAUGCAAGACGUGCGCCUACACCCACUUCAAGCUGCUGGAGACCUGCGUCAGUGAGCAGCACGAAUACCACUGGCACGACGGCGUGAAGAGAUUUUUCAAAUGUCCCUGUGGAAACAGAAGCAUCUCCUUGGACAGACUCCCGAACAAGCACUGCAGGUAUGAGAAUCACCUGGAGCUCUUUGUCCCACGUGGGGAUUUUCAUCUCUUUUUCCAGAGUCUGUGAUUCUGUUCCCUUGGAACGUUGGAUGAUCAUUCCAUGCCUUCCUAUAGCUCCAGGCUACCCUUGGGACUCAAGCUGUUAACUGAAAUCCCUGGAAG
rnacentral:sRNA from 1 species